rnacentral:hammerhead_ribozyme from 1 species
AUACAUCUGAUGAGUGCCGAACAGGACGAAACGCGAGUCCUGGAU